AAAGCUCGUAGUCGGAUUUUGGGCGCGUGUGAACUGUCAGCCUCUGGUUGGACGGUGCGCGCGUGCCUUUCUGCUUGGGAGCCCCAUGGUGGUUAAUUCUGUCGUGGUGGGUCACAGGCCGUUUACUUUGAAAAAAUUAGAGUGUUCAAAGCAGGCUGUUGCUUGAAUAGAUUAGCAUGGAAUAAUGGAAUAGGACCUUGGUGCUAUUUCGUUGGUUAUGGGACUGGGGUAAUGAUUAAUAGGGACAGUUGGGGCCGUUCAUAUUUCGUUGUCAGAGGUGAAAUUCUUGGAUUUACGAACGAUGAACUUGUGCGAAAGCAUUCGGCAAGGAUGUUUUCAUUGAUCAAGAACGAAAGUUAGGGGAUCGAAGACGAUCAGAUACCGUCGUAGUCUUAACCAUAAACUAUGCCAACUAGGGACCAUUGAGUGUCAAUUUACGACCUCAUUGGCACCUUGUGAGAAAUCAAAGUUUUUGGGUUCCGGGGGGAGUAUGGUCGCAAGGCUGAAACUUAAAGGAAUUGACGGAAGGGCACCACCAGGAGUGGAGCCUGCGGCUUAAUUUGACUCAACACGGGGAAACUUACCAGGUCCAGACAUAGUCAGGAUGGACAGAUUGAAAGCUCUUUCUUGAUUCUAUGGGUGGUGGUGCAUGGCCGUUCUUAGUUGGUGGAGUGAUUUGUCUGGUUAAUUCCGAUAACGAACGAGAC
rnacentral:rRNA from 1 species